rfam:Myotis brandtii contig314075, whole genome shotgun sequence.
GGCGGUUCUCAGGUGACAGACCCGGAAUCGGGUUACCUCCUGUCUGGUUCCAGGUACAUCACCCAAGAACCCCA